GACAGAGGCCCCGAGCGUUAGGCGGAAUCACUGGGCUUAAAGCGUGUGUAGGCGGGCCCGUAAGUGUCUUGUGAAAUCCCACGGCUCAACCGUGGAACUGCUGGGCAUACUGCGGGCUCUUGGGCCAACUAGGGGCAGCCGGAACAAGCGGUGGAGCGGUGAAAGCGUAGAUAUCGCUUGGAACGCCGAAGGUGAAAACAGGCUGCUGGGGUUGCGCCGACGCUGAGACACGAAAGCCAGGGGAGCAAACGGG
rnacentral:rRNA from 1 species